rnacentral:rRNA from 1 species
GACGGAAGGUGCAAGCGUUGCUCGGAAUCACUGGGCGUAAAGGGUGCGUAGGCGGCUUGGCAAGUCGGGUGUGAAAUCCCUCAGCUCAACUGAGGAAGUGCGCCCGAAACUGCUUUGCUUGAGUGCCGGAGAGGAUGGCGGAAUUCCCCAAGUAGAGGUGAAAUUCGUAGAUAUGGGGAGGAACACCGGUGGCGAAGGCGGCCAUCUGGACGGUUACUGACGCUGAGACGCGAAAGCGUGGGGAGCAAACAGGG